UCGGGAAUUUUGGGCAAUGGGCGAAAGCCUGACCCAGCAACGCCGCGUGAGGGAUGAAGUAUUUCGGUACGUAAACCUCGAAAGAAUGGGAAGAAUAAAUGACGGUACCAUUUAUAAGCUCCGGCUAACUACGUGCCAGCAGCCGCGGUAAUACGUAGGGAGCAAGCGUUGUUCAGAUUUACUGGGCGUAAAGGGCGCGUAGGCGGCGCGGUAAGUCACUUGUGAAAUCUCUGAGCUUAACUCAGAACGGCCAAGUGAUACUGCUGUGCUAGAGUGCGGAAGAGGCAACCGGAAUUCUUGGUGUAGCGGUGAAAUGCGUAGAUAUCAAGAGGAACACCUGAGGCGAAGGCGGGUUGCUGGGCCGACACUGACGCUGAUGCGCGAAAGCCAGGGGAGCAAACG
rnacentral:rRNA from 1 species